rnacentral:rRNA from 1 species
CCCCGUGGUUUUGUCGACCCGCACUUCUAUCGCAGUGUACCAGUUUUCUUCGCCGGCAAGUAAUAGGGGAUUAAUUAGUCUUUUAGUUUUUAGUUAAGGUCCCUUUUGUCUUUUUUUUUGAGCUAACGGUGGCAGAGCCGCAGCAGCAGCGGGCCGAGUGCGCGAGGUUGGAUCGGGAUCGGGAUCGGGAGGGACGGUCAACUACCACCCGCCCGACGCUCUAGACAUCCCGAGCAACCGAAAGCGGCCGCCCUCCUCUACCUCCGGCCCUUGCUGCCGGGCUGCUGCGGCCACAACGAGUUGCAUAUGCUGGAGUGCGGGCAGUUGCUAAUGGAGAUGACCGAGCCGAAGCCGCAGAAGGUGAGGCCUUAGCUUCAAGUACCGUACCUUAUACCUAAACCUCGUGUACUAAAGAGUAGGUCGCCACAUAAACUCCACCUUAGCUUUACAACGGGACCUAAACAGAUAUCUUUCUGCCACAGCGAUCCGUGUUGACUGUACAGAGCCCUUCUAAAGGCGAGCAAGUAACUUUCUGAACGUCCCUUCAUAGUACCGUUAUGUAUAUUAAACUAACGCUUCUUGACGUUAGUAAAGUGUCUACUACAGACAUCCUUGAACUGACCUUUUGGGUAGGGACCGACCCACUUAUCCAACCGGUCUCAUCCGAGUCAAAAACUGACGGAUGAUGGUCUUUCACAGGUUCAAAGAGGACAACCUGCACAGGGUUGAGAAGCAGGUCAAUAACUACUACUAAACCUAAGCCAUAGAAGAAGCUUGUCGCUACUCCCACUACUCCUGUUCGUGGACAACCUUCGUGGUAGGUGACUGAACGUUGGACAUCUUCACGGUAAUUUCGAUCGGUUUCUAGAAGAAACUGUACAAGGUACGAAAAAAAAAAGACGUUUUAACUGUAUAAUGUUGACGUUGGUGACCUCAGGUCCCGCUACUACGCUACAAAGACCCACCAAACUCACUGUCCAGCCUUGGCACCUCGAACGGUGACCAUGUUGGAUAGUGAAAAGUGUCUCAAAACGGAAAGAUCGUCCACAUGUCUAUCCUUAACCGGUAGAACAGGUUUUCUAUUCAGAUCAAUGAACAACAAAUGGUCAAGCGCGUCACUGACAACAUAGUAUGAGUCUUUUACAACUCGGACCAUGACUACAAUCAGACAUAUAAAAUAAUUUGCUCGACCUUACCCUUACAAACGGAACCGCUACGAGCGGACUCGGAACAUUACUUUAAGGUACAGGAACGAUAGUAUCCGGACAGCAGAGGUACAUG